UGAACCGGAGAUGAGGUUGUAAGACUAACGAAAUCAACGAGAUUAAGUGAUUAAGGCCUUCACAUUCAACUUAACUGAGAAUUUCAGAAAGGGGAUUUAUGGUUAGUCGGAUUUUCUGGGUUUCUAAUUCACUUCCUCUGUGUGAAUUGAAGCUAGGUUUUAGUGGUAGAGGUGCGAACAAGAUAGAAUCAAGGAAAAAUCAUGUCAAAACGAAGGAAAAUCGAGAGUUUAGGAAUAUAAAGAUUUAGGGUUCAUGGCUUACGGGAAAGGGAUUUCGUGGGAGUGUUUUUUUUUUUUGUCUUUGACCGGGAAUGGUUUUUUAUUUUAAUUGUUAGCUUUUCUUUUAUUUUUUGACAGCAAAAAAAAACUACAAUUAAAAAUAAUUUUAGACUUUCUAAUGUUUAAAAUGAAAUGUUUAUUUUUAAAAUAAUUUAUUUUUAGUUCAUUUAUCUAUGGGGUAUUUUAGACUUUUGGUUGCAUUUUUUCUUUCUUUCUUUUUGCAAGUUAUACUAGUCAUUACACAAGAAAAUGUGAGCUAUUCUAGGUAAUUUCUCUUACAAUUUUAUAGUCAUUUAACUAUACCCCUUAAAUUGUUUAUUGUUUAGAAAUAUUAUAAAUAUCUAGCAAUGGAUUUACAAAUAUUGAAACAGAAAAAUGAAAAUAACUGAUACCAUCCAAAUUACUCUAAGGAGUGAUUUAUUGUCUCUCAAAUAACAGGUCAAGUUGUAGUACUAAGGGAUCGAAUUUACAAGGAGUUAGAGAGCCUAAGAAAUCUAAUAUGAUUUGUUAAGCAUGAUGUUUUAUGGUUUAAAUGUAAAUUGCAGUUUUUAUCAAGCAAGUGUUUGCUCAAUUGAUUGGUUAAGGUAUUGGUGCUUCAAAGGAAAUAGGUAGACUUAGGGUUUUUAUUCAGGAAACUUGGAAUUAUAAUCUUACAGAUUCCUAAUGAGUUGCAUUCAUGAUAAUGUAAAGCUCAACUACUUAGUCAACAAAUCUAUCAGCUUUCGCAUGUUUGGACUUAUCUAUUAACUAGAUCUAAUGAUCUCAACUAUCGUAUGUCGAUCAAUUAGAAAGUGUCGAGAGAUGAUCC
rnacentral:lncRNA from 1 species